CAGUAGCCGCGGUAAUACGUAGGGUGCAAGCGUUAAUCGGAAUUACUGGGCGUAAAGCGUGCGCAGGCGGUUAUAUAAGACAGAUGUGAAAUCCCCGGGCUCAACCUGGGAACUGCAUUUGUGACUGUAUAGCUAGAGUACGGCAGAGGGGGAUGGAAUUCCGCGUGUAGCAGUGAAAUGCGUGGAUAUGCGGAGGAACACCGAUGGCGAAGGCAAUCCCCUGGGCCUGUACUGACGCUCAUGCACGAAAGCGUGGGGAGCAAACAGGAUUAGAUACCCCGGUAGUCCCUGUCUCUUAUAC
rnacentral:rRNA from 1 species